rnacentral:RNase_P_RNA from 1 species
GACAAACGCUGGAACACUUGCUGUUCUUGAGGAAAGUCCAUGCUCACACAAUCUGAGAUGAUUGUAGUGUUCGUGCUUAGGGAAUAAAUAACCUAAGGUAGGUAAUUCUAACGGCGGAAAAUUUUCUAAGUCUUAUGAUAUGAAAUAUUCCAUAAAGUGCCGCAGUGACGAUAAUUCUAGAAAUAGAAGAGUGAAACGAGGUAAACCCCGCGAGUGAGAAACCCAAAUUUGGUAGGGGAGUCUUAACGAAGGAAAUGAACGGAGUUAAGGACCAAUUUAUUGGUAGAUAAAUGUUUGUCUUCUGGUAACAGAAACAGAACAUGGCUUAUU